ensembl:lncRNA
GUGAAGAUAGACAGCAGAGAAGAGCAGAUGUUUUUGUCUGAUAGAUUAAAAAGAAAAAUGAGAGAGGAUGAUGAUAAGUUCUGGAUUGGACUGACAGACUCUGAAACAGAAGAUGUGUGGAAGUGGACCGACGGCUCAUCACUGGACCCAAAUUUAACGUUUUGGUUUAAAACAAAACAAAACUCUGAACCGGACAAUUGGACAGGACAUAACAAAGAAAAUCUGAAUGGAGAAGACUGUGUGCGGAUGGGAGAGAAAGCAGAUGGCUUUGAGACAAAAUGCUGGUUUGACCAAGACUGCAACUCAUCACAGCAUUACAUCUGUGAAAAGAACACAGCAUCAUCUCCAAACUGUAUAAAAUGAAGGAACUUGUAAAAUAUAAGUACAUUGUGUACAACAUGUACAAAUAUCACUCUUAACAUUUUAUUCUUUUUGUCUUUUUAGUGCAAACUAUGUUAAUUUACAGCUUACACCAACUUUCUCAUUUACUCCUCCAGGCACCG